rnacentral:rRNA from 1 species
AUUGAACGCUGGCGGCAGGCCUAACACAUGCAAGUCGAGCGAGCGGCGGACGGGUGAGUAAUGUCUGGGAAACUGCCUGAUGGAGGGGGAUAACUACUGGAAACGGUAGCUCAUACCGCAUACCAUCAGAUGUGCCCAGCUGGGCUUCGCUAGUAGGUGGGGUAAUGGCUCUCCUAGGCGACGAUCCCUAGCUGGUCUGAGAGGAUGCCCAGCCACACUGGAACUGAGACACGGUCCAGACUCCUACGGGAGGCAGCAGUGGGGAAUAUUGCAGAAUGGGCGAAAGCCUGAUGCAGCCAUGCCGCGUGUGUGAAGAAGGCCUUCGGGUUGUAAAGCACUUUCAGCGGGGAGGCGUUACCCGCAGAAGAAGCACCGGCUAACUCCGUGCCAGCCGCCGCGGUAAUUC